rnacentral:rRNA from 1 species
UACGGAGGGUGCGAGCGUUGUCCGGAAUCAUUGGGCGUAAAGGGCGCGUAGGUGGCGCGGCAAGCGUGCGGUGAAAGCUCGGGCUCAACCCCGAGUCGGCCGUGCGAACUGCUGUGCUUGAGCACUGUAGAGGCAGGCGGAAUUCCGGGUGUAGCGGUGGAAUGCGUAGAGAUCCGGAAGAACACCGGUGGCGAAGGCGGGCCUGCUGG